UAUAAGUGCAAUCAUAAGUUUCCACGCCUAACUUUAAUCGUUCGUCUUAUUUUAAUUUUUUUUAUAAUUAGUAUUUUUAUUGUUAUGAGAUGAUAAAACAUGAAUAGUACAUUACUCGUGAUUUAUGAUUUUAAUUUUUUUAAAAAAUUUUUAAAUAAAACGGACGGUCAAAGUUGGACGCGGAAAAUCAUUGCUGCACUUAUA
rfam:Oryza sativa Japonica Group DNA, chromosome 2, cultivar: Nipponbare, complete sequence.